GACGAACGCUGGCGGCGUGCUUAACACAUGCAAGUCGAACGGUAAGGCUCCAGCUUGCUGGGGUACACGAGUGGCGAACGGGUGAGUAACACGUGGGUGACCUGCCCUGCACUUCGGGAUGAGCCUGGGAAACUGGGUCUAAUACCGGAUAGGACCGCACCGUGAGGGUGUGGUGGAAAGUUUUUUCGGUGUGGGAUGGGCCCGCGGCCUAUCAGCUUGUUGGUGGGGUAAUGGCCUACCAAGGCGGCGACGGGUAGCCGGCCUGAGAGGGUGGACGGCCACAUUGGGACUGAGACACGGCCCAGACUCCUACGGGAGGCAGCAGUGGGGAAUAUUGCACAAUGGGCGGAAGCCUGAUGCAGCGACGCCGCGUGGGGGAUGACGGCCUUCGGGUUGUAAACUCCUUUCACCAUCGACGAAGGGUUUCUGACGGUAGAUGGAGAAGAAGCACCGGCUAACUACGUGCCAGCAGCCGCGGUAAUACGUAGGGUGCGAGCGUUGUCCGGAAUUACUGGGCGUAAAGAGCUCGUAGGUGGUUUGUCGCGUCGUCUGUGAAAUUCCGGGGCUUAACUCCGGGCGUGCAGGCGAUACGGGCAUAACUUGAGUACUGUAGGGGAGACUGGAAUUCCUGGUGUAGCGGUGAAAUGCGCAGAUAUCAGGAGGAACACCGGUGGCGAAGGCGGGUCUCUGGGCAGUAACUGACGCUGAGGAGCGAAAGCAUGGGGAGCGAACAGGAUUAGAUACCCUGGUAGUCCAUGCCGUAAACGGUGGGCGCUAGGUGUGGGUUUCCUUCCACGGGAUCCGUGCCGUAGCUAACGCAUUAAGCGCCCCGCCUGGGGAGUACGGCCGCAAGGCUAAAACUCAAAGGAAUUGACGGGGGCCCGCACAAGCGGCGGAGCAUGUGGAUUAAUUCGAUGCAACGCGAAGAACCUUACCUGGGCUUGACAUAUACAGGAUCGCGCCAGAGAUGGUGUUUCCCUUGUGGCUUGUAUACAGGUGGUGCAUGGUUGUUGUCAGCUCGUGUCGUGAGAUGUUGGGUUAAGUCCCGCAACGAGCGCAACCCUUGUCUUAUGUUGCCAGCACGUUGUGGUGGGGACUCGUAAGAAACUGCCGGGGUUAACUCGGAGGAAGGUGGGGAUGACGUCAAAUCAUCAUGCCCCUUAUGUCCAGGGCUUCACACAUGCUACAAUGGUCGGUACAGUGGGUUGCCAGUCCGUGAGGGCGAGCUAAUCCCGCAAAGCCGGUCUCAGUUCGGAUCGGGGUCUGCAACUCGACCCCGUGAAGUCGGAGUCGCUAGUAAUCGCAGAUCAGCAACGCUGCGGUGAAUACGUUCCCGGGCCU
rnacentral:rRNA from 1 species